rnacentral:rRNA from 1 species
GAGUGAACGCUGGCGGUAGGCCUAACACAUGCAAGUCGAACGGCAGCCCAGUAAGAGCUUGCUCUUACGGGUGGCGAGUGGCGGACGGGUGAGGAAUACAUCGGAAUCUACUUUUUCGUGGGGGAUAACGUAGGGAAACUUACGCUAAUACCGCAUACGACCUACGGGUGAAAGCAGGGGAUCUUCGGACCUUGCGCGAUUGAAUGAGCCGAUGUCGGAUUAGCUAGUUGGCGGGGUAAAGGCCCACCAAGGCGACGAUCCGUAGCUGGUCUGAGAGGAUGAUCAGCCACACUGGAACUGAGACACGGUCCAGACUCCUACGGGAGGCAGCAGUGGGGAAUAUUGGACAAUGGGCGCAAGCCUGAUCCAGCCAUACCGCGUGGGUGAAGAAGGCCUUCGGGUUGUAAAGCCCUUUUGUUGGGAAAGAAAAGCAGCAGGUUAAUACCCCGCUGUUCUGACGGGACCCAAAGAAUAAGCACCGGCUAACUUCGU